UGGGGAAUAUUGGGCAAUGGGGGAAACCCUGACCCAGCGACGCCGCGUGGAGGAAGGAGCCCUUCGGGGUGUAAACUCCUGUUGUAAGGGAAGAAGACAGUGACGGUACCUUACGAGGAAGCCCCGGCAAACUACGUGCCAGCAGCCGCGGUAACACGUAGGGGGCGAGCGUUGUCCGGAAUUACUGGGCGUAAAGCGCACGCAGGCGGAUGCGCGCGUCGGCUGUGAAAUGCACCGGCUCAACCGGUGCACUGCGGUCGAUACGGCGCAUCUGGAGUGCGGGAGAGGGAAGCGGAAUUCCCGGUGUAGCGGUGAAAUGCGUAGAUAUCGGGAGGAACGCCGGUGGCGAAGGCGGCUUCCUGGCCCGCAACUGACGCUCAUGUGCGAAAGCCAGGGGAGC
rnacentral:rRNA from 1 species